UACGUAGGGUGCGAGCGUUGUCCGGAAUUAUUGGGCGUAAAGAGCUUGUAGGCGGUUUGUCGCGUCUGCUGUGAAAAUCCGGGGCUCAACCCCGGACUUGCAGUGGGUACAGGCAGACUAGAGUGUGGUAGGGGAGACUGGAAUUCCUGGUGUAGCGGUGAAAUGCGCAGAUAUCAGGAGGAACACCGGUGGCGAAGGCGGGUCUCUGGGCUGUAACUGACGCUGAGGAGCGAAAGCGUGGGGAGCGAACAGG
rnacentral:rRNA from 1 species